rnacentral:rRNA from 1 species
AACGAACGCUGGCGGCAUGCCUAACACAUGCAAGUCGAACGAGGUCUGGAGCUUGCUCCGGGUGCCUAGUGGCGAACGGGUGAGUAACGCGUGGGAACCUGCCCUGGAGUGGGGAACAACCUUUGGAAACGAAGGCUAAUACCGCAUACGCUCUGAGGAGGAAAGGCUUCGGCCGCUCUUGGAUGGUCCCGCGUCUGAUUAGCUUGUUGGUGGGGUAACGGCCUACCAAGGCGACGAUCAGUAGCUGGUCUGAGAGGAUGAUCAGCCACACUGGGACUGAGACACGGCCCAG